GAUGAACGCUGGCGGCGUGCCUAAUACAUGCAAGUCGAGCGAACAGAUGAGGAGCUUGCUCCUCUGACGUUAGCGGCGGACGGGUGAGUAACACGUGGAUAACCUACCUAUAAGACUGGGAUAACUUCGGGAAACCGGAGCUAAUACCGGAUAAUAUAUUGAACCGCAUGGUUCAAUAGUGAAAGACGGUUUUGCUGUCACUUAUAGAUGGAUCCGCGCCGCAUUAGCUAGUUGGUAAGGUAACGGCUUACCAAGGCAACGAUGCGUAGCCGACCUGAGAGGGUGAUCGGCCACACUGGAACUGAGACACGGUCCAGACUCCUACGGGAGGCAGCAGUAGGGAAUCUGCCGCAAUGGGCGAAAGCCUGACGGAGCAACGCCGCGUGAGUGAUGAAGGUCUGCGGAUCGUAAAACUCUGUUAUUAGGGAAGAACAAAUGUGUAAGUAACGAUGCACGUCUUGACGGUACCUAAUCAGAAAGCCACGGCUAACUACGU
rnacentral:rRNA from 1 species